GUGGGGACAGGGGGAUCCACAAUGAUGCAAUCCCCAGGAGGUCUUUACAAAAACCCAUGUUUGCGUAAGCUGCUUGGGAGAGUGUGCAAAGACAACUAGAGAGCAUUCUACAGCACCAGUGGGCAUGUUCUGUCUUGGUUUCUUUUGACAGACCUAGUAUGUUUGAACUUACCUUCAUUGUCUGAGAGCUGCAAGACUAUCCUGUCUGGAGAACAAGACAGUGGAUUCUGGGAUGACCUUGAAAUAAUUUUCAGCAAAUCAGACCUACUGCAGAUGCAGUAUGUGAAGCAAACAAUAUCUUUCUGAUGCAAUGUUUACUGUUGCCCCUCAAAAUGGUUCUUCACUAACAUGACAGUAGAAUCUGAAAUGUAGCAUAUACCUUUCAAAAAGAAGCAACAUGUAAAAAGGUUGUUGGGGCUUUCUCUUGCGAGUAUGUCUCCAGUGUCUACAGACUGGCUCAUGCCUGUCAAGGCAAUAUUUUUCUCAAGUCCUUCUCCAUGUUAUCUCAUUGCAGUUUUUCCUAGUGACUAUGAAGGAUUUGUCUGAGACCAACCAACAAAUCCUUCUGGACAGUCCUUCUGUGAAUUACUUUCAACCUAUCAGAAAAUUGAAUGGAAUCCUGCAAGACUAUCAGAUGACAGAAGGGAAAAAAAAUAUGGGUUUGUCUUAAUUCACUACAGCAAAGGAGAAGCACCUAAAUGAAAAAGCAUGUGACUAUGACCACCACAAAUCAACUUGAUUCUUAAGUUUCCCACGUUAAAGAAAUAAAACAUUCCCAAUGUUUAGAGUAUGAGCCUGACAAUAGGGAAGCUGUAGUUGUGGAGUAAUUAUUUCUAGACAUGGACCCCCCCCCCCCACCCCCCUUUGGGACCCCCCAAACGGUUUAUGUCUACAACAUGAGAAUAGCAAGUGAUAUCAGUGAGGCAAACAUCGUGAGAGAGGCUGUAAAAUAACUAAAGAUGAAUUACAGACAAAAAUACAAAUGAACUCUGAAAAAAUGCUACAGAUAAUACAGUGAGAUUUCAAGCUGUUGCUUUGCCACAGAUAUUCAGAGUUUCAAGACAUGGUAAAUAUCGUUUAAACUUCUGCUUACUAAACUCAGCUGUAGUGCACUCCUUCUCUUAACUUCUGAUACAUCAGUAUAUCAUUGUGGCCAAGAAUAGAGUGAUUUUCGGUGAUGGCACAAGACUUUCAGUGAUCGAAAAGAGGGAACGAUCAUGAAGAGCAUCACAAUUUAUAAUUCCAUCACAUAGAAAAAGAAGUUUUGUCUUUGUCCAUAAGUCUCUCUGUAGUUCUCUCUGAAUUUCCUCUUUCCAUGUGCAUUCUGCAGACCUGGUGGAUUUGUCAUGCAAGAGAAGAACAAUGAAAUCAUUCCACCAGCUGUGGCCAUCUUUUCACCAUCAAAGCAAGAGAUUCAACAGAAGAACAAGGCCACGCUGGUAUGCCUGGCCUCUGGUUUCUACCCUGAUCACCUCAAUCUAGUCUGGAAGGUGAAUGGUGUGAAGAGGACAGAAGGAGUGGGAACAGAUGAGAUUUCCACACCAAAUGGAAGCACUUACUCAUUGACAAGCAGACUGAGAAUCUCAGCCGAAGAGUGGUUCAACCCUUUGAAUCGUUUUGAAUGUAUUGCUGAAUAUUUUAAGAAUGCAACACUGGAAUCAAUACACAAAUUCAUCUAUGGUGACACUGGAUGUAUGCUCACUAAAGACUCCUACUUGCGAUAUGGAAAUUCUAUGAAGCUCACUUACCUCAUUCUGUGUGGUAAAGCCUUCCUCUAUGCAAUUUUGGUGUGUGCUUUGAUGUGGACAAUCAAGGUAGGCCAAUGUGCCACUUUCAGGCUGAGCUUGUUCACUAGUACAAGGAUUAGUGGAUAAAACAAAAUCUACAAUCAGCUCAAGGGUUAUUUUCUACUUGUUCUUGAGAGAUUUGUCUGGGCUAGUUUAAAGAAAUCACAAGUAAGAAGAUUUCUGUUAUAGUUUUUCCAGAGAUCAAACAAAAUCAAUGCUGUCCAGCAAAGAUAUUCCUUCUGAAAACAUACAGGAAAAGAUAAGAAGUAGUAAGCACAACUUCUCCAGAAAAAGAAAUAUCAGAUACAUCAUGCUUUUCUUUAGUCAUUGGAAAGGGACAUGUGCCUGCAGAAAAAGUAGAAACUGGGGGCUUUGAGGAGGUAUGUACAAUGAAUGGGAGAAAUCGAAACAGAUGGGAGAAGUUUAAGUAGCUAGUAACAGAAGUAAAAUAAUCUUUAUCUGUAAACUUCUCGUGUACCUGGUAGAUACUUCUGGUAAGAGUAAUGGAAGCCUCAGCACUGACUUCCCUUAAAAGUGGGACUGGGAAUUGUGUUUGAGAAGAAACAUGAUGGAGUUAAGAGUGAGUAACAAGCACAGCCCGUUAUGUUCAAGACGUUCUCCUUUUUGAAGGCUACGUGAGGAAGUACAUUACUGGGUCACAGUCAUCUGUGAAUUUUUUUUUGUAAAGCUAUUAACUCAGCAUGUAAGUAAAUAACAUGUACGGGUACUUUGUAGCAAGAUUCUUUCUCCCUACAAAGAAAGGGUGAAGCCUUGGAGCUACAAUCACAGACACAGAAUUGUAGGGAUUGGAAGGAACCUCUGAAUAUCAACCCCCGGCUGAAGCAGGUUCCCUACAGUAGGUUGCACAGGAAAAUGUCCAGGAGAGUCUUCUUCCUUUUAUUUAUAUGGAAUUUCUUAUGUUCCAGUUUCUAUCCCUUGCCACUUGUUCUGUCACUGCAAGAUGCUGAAAAGAGCCUGGCCCCAUCAACUUGACAUGCUCAUUUCACUGCACAUUCUCAGGAAACUCAAGAAUAUAGACAAUUGUAAAUUUGGACUAUUAUUUCAUCAUGCUCUUGCUUAACUGUUUAUUCUGUUUUGUUUUCAUUUAGACUGGUAGCAAGCUAUAUAAAGAAUGAGUGAAUAAUCUCCAUCGCAUCAACAGGAAAACAGCGAAUUCCACUUCUUUUCCAUGGCAAAGAGUCCAAGCCUCUAAUAUCCUCUUUCUUGAUGGCCCUCUGUUCUCUCCUGUUCUUUCAGCUGUGUUUUAAUCACUACAGGAUUUCCCAUGGAUGUGCAGGGUAGUCUCUGUCAUAGCUUUAAAGCACCUUCUUACUGUUCAGAGGUGUCAGCUUGUUAAAUUAGGAAUAAAGCUUAAGUUUCGCUCCUUUUGAAGAA